rnacentral:rRNA from 1 species
AUUGAACGCUGGCGGCAGGCCUAACACAUGCAAGUCGAGCGGAUGAAGGGAGCUUGCUCCUGGAUUCAGCGGCGGACGGGUGAGUAAUACCUAGGAAUCUGCCUGGUAGUGGGGGAUAACGUCCGGAAACGGGCGCUAAUACCGCAUACGUCCUGAGGGAGAAAGUGGGGGAUCUUCGGACCUCACGCUAUCUGAUGAGCCUAGGUCGGAUUAGCUAGUUGGUGGGGUAAAGGCCUACCAAGGCGACGAUCCGUAACUGGUCUGAGAGGAUGAUCAGUCACACUGGAACUGAGACACGGUCCAGACUCCUACGGGAGGCAGCAGUGGGGAAUAUUGGACAAUGGGCGAAAGCCUGAUCCAGCCAUGCCGCGUGUGUGAAGAAGGUCUUCGGAUUGUAAAGCACUUUAAGUUGGGAGGAAGGGCAGUAAGUUAAUACCUUGCUGUUUUGACGUUACCAACAGAAUAAGCACCGGCUAACUUCGUG